rnacentral:rRNA from 1 species
GACGAACCGUGCGAACGUUAUUCGGAAUCACUGGGCUUAAAGCGCGUGUAGGCGGGCCGGCACGUCGGUCGCUGAAAUCCCCCGGCUCAACCGGGGAACGGGCGCCGAUACGACCGGCCUGGAGGGGGGUAGGGGGCGCCGGAACUCACGGUGGAGCGGUGAAAUGCGUUGAGAUCGUGAGGAACGCCCGUGGCGAAAGCGGGCGCCUGGACCCCGCCUGACGCUGAGGCGCGAAAGCGUGGGGAUCAAACAGG